AUUGAACGCUGGCGGCAGGCCUAACACAUGCAAGUCGAGCGGGGGUAGCAAUACCCUACGCGGCGGACGGGUGAGAAUGCAUCGGAACGUGCCGAGUAGGUGGGGGAGUAACGCAGGGAAACUUGCGCUAAUACCGCAUACGCCCCGGAGGGGAAAGGUAGGGGCCGCAAGGCCUCACGCUAUUUGAGCGGCCGAUGCCCGAUUAGCUAGUUGGUGAGGUAAAGGCUCACCAAGGCGACGAUCGGUAGCUGGUCUGAGAGGAUGAUCAGCCACACUGGAACUGAGACACGGUCCAGACU
rnacentral:rRNA from 1 species